rnacentral:tRNA from 1 species
GGAGAGAUGGCCGAGUAGGUCGAAGGCGGUCGCCUGCUAAGCGAUUAAGCGGGUUUAUAGCCCGCUUCGUGGGUUCGAAUCCCACUCUCUCCGCCA